rnacentral:rRNA from 1 species
AACGCUAGCUACAGGCUUAACACAUGCAAGUCGAGGGGCAGCAUUUUAGUUUGCUUGCAAACUAAAGAUGGCGACCGGCGCACGGGUGAGUAACACGUAUCCAACCUGCCGAUAACUCGGGGAUAGCCUUUCGAAAGAAAGAUUAAUAUCCGAUAGUAUAUUAAAACCGCAUGGUUUUACUAUUAAAGAAUUUCGGUUAUCGAUGGGGAUGCGUUCCAUUAGUUUGUUGGCGGGGUAACGGCCCACCAAGACUACGAUGGAUAGGGGUUCUGAGAGGAAGGUCCCCCACAUUGGAACUGAGACACGGUCCAAACUCCUACGGGAGGCAGCAGUGAGGAAUAUUGGUCAAUGGACGAGAGUCUGAACCAGCCAAGUAGCGUGAAGGAUGACUGCCCUAUGGGUUGUAAACUUCUUUUAUAUGGGAAUAAAGUAUUCCACGUGUGGAAUUUUGUAUGUACCAUAUGAAUAAGGAUCGGCUAACUCCGUGCCAGCAGCCGCGGUAAUACGGAGGAUCCGAGCGUUAUCCGGAUUUAUUGGGUUUAAAGGGAGCGUAGGUGGAUUGUUAAGUCAGUUGUGAAAGUUUGCGGCUCAACCGUAAAAUUGCAGUUGAAACUGGCAGUCUUGAGUACAGUAGAGGUGGGCGGAAUUCGUGGUGUAGCGGUGAAAUGCUUAGAUAUCACGAAGAACUCCGAUUGCGAAGGCAGCUCACUAGACUGCAACUGACACUGAUGCUCGAAAGUGUGGGUAUCAAACAGGAUUAGAUACCCUGGUAGUCCACACAGUAAACGAUGAAUACUCGCUGUUUGCGAUAUACAGUAAGCGGCCAAGCGAAAGCAUUAAGUAUUCCACCUGGGGAGUACGCCGGCAACGGUGAAACUCAAAGGAAUUGACGGGGGCCCGCACAAGCGGAGGAACAUGUGGUUUAAUUCGAUGAUACGCGAGGAACCUUACCCGGGCUUAAAUUGCAUUUGAAUAAUCUGGAAACAGGUUAGCCGCAAGGCAAAUGUGAAGGUGCUGCAUGGUUGUCGUCAGCUCGUGCCGUGAGGUGUCGGCUUAAGUGCCAUAACGAGCGCAACCCUUAUCUUUAGUUACUAACAGGUCAUGCUGAGGACUCUAGAGAGACUGCCGUCGUAAGAUGUGAGGAAGGUGGGGAUGACGUCAAAUCAGCACGGCCCUUACGUCCGGGGCUACACACGUGUUACAAUGGGGGGUACAGAAGGCAGCUACCUGGUGACAGGAUGCUAAUCCCAAAAACCUCUCUCAGUUCGGAUCGAAGUCUGCAACCCGACUUCGUGAAGCUGGAUUCGCUAGUAAUCGCGCAUCAGCCAUGGCGCGGUGAAUACGUUCCCGGGCCUUGUACACACCGCCCGUCAAGCCAUGAAAGCCGGGGGUACAAGAAGUACGUAACCGCAAGGAGCGUCCUAGGGUAAAAC